UACGGGGGGGGGCAAGCGUUGUUCGGAAUCACUGGGCGUAAAGGGAGCGUAGGCGGGCUUCUAAGUUAGAUGUUUAAUCCCGGGGCCCAACCCCGGACAGGCACCUAAAACUGGAAGUCUUGAAUAGUGGAGAGGACGGCGGAAUUGGGGGUGUAGCGGUGGAAUGCGUAGAGAUAUGGAGGAACACCAGUGGCGAAGGCGACUUUCUGGUCUGUAACUGACACUGAGGCGCGAAAGCGUGGGGGAGCAAACAGG
rnacentral:rRNA from 1 species